AUUGAACGCUGGCGGCAGGCCUAACACAUGCAAGUCGAGCGGCAGCGGGAAAGUAGCUUGCUACCUUUGCCGGCGAGCGGCGGACGGGUGAGUAAUGCCUGGGAAAUUGCCCAGUCGAGGGGGAUAACAGUUGGAAACGACUGCUAAUACCGCAUACGCCCUACGGGGGAAAGCAGGGGACCUUCGGGCCUUGCGCGAUUGGAUAUGCCCAGGUGGGAUUAGCUAGUUGGUGAGGUAAAGGCUCACCAAGGCGACGAUCCCUAGCUGGUCUGAGAGGAUGAUCAGCCACACUGGAACUGAGACACGGUCCAGACUCCUACGGGAGGCAGCAGUGGGGAAUAUUGCACAAUGGGGGAAACCCUGAUGCAGCCAUGCCGCGUGUGUGAAGAAGGCCUUCGGGUUGUAAAGCACUUUCAGCGAGGAGGAAAGGUUGAUGCCUAAUACGUAUCAACUGUGACGUUACUCGCAGAAGAAGCACCGGCUAACUCCGUGCCAGCCGCCGCGGUAAUAC
rnacentral:rRNA from 1 species